AGCCAUGCCGCGUGUGUGAAGAAGGCCUUUUGGUUGUAAAGCACUUUAAGCAGUGAAGAAGACCUAACGGUUAAUACCCGUUAGCGAUGACAUUAGCUGCAGAAUAAGCACCGGCUAACUCUGUGCCAGCAGCCGCGGUAAUACAGAGGGUGCAAGCGUUAAUCGGAAUUACUGGGCGUAAAGCGAGCGUAGGUGGCUUGAUAAGUCAGAUGUGAAAUCCCCGGGCUUAACCUGGGAACUGCAUCUGAUACUGUUGGGCUAGAGUAGGUGAGAGGGAGGUAGAAUUUCAGGUGUAGCGGUGAAAUGCGUAGAGAUCUGAAGGAAUACCGAUGGCGAAGGCAGCCUCCUGGCAUCAUACUGACACUGAGGUUCGAAAGCGUGGGUAGCAAACAGGAUUAGAUACCCUGGUAGUCCACGCCGUAAACGAUGUCUACUAGUCGUUGGGGAACUUGAUUCCUUAGUGACGCAGCUAACGCAAUAAGUAGACCGCCUGGGGAGUACGGCCGCAAGGUUAAAACUCAAAUGAAUUGACGGGGGCCCGCACAAGCGGUGGAGCAUGUGGUUUAAUUCGAUGCAACGCGAAGAACCUUACCUGGUCUUGACAUAUCUAGAAUCCUGCAGAGAUGCGGGAGUGCCUUCGGGAAUUAGAAUACAGGUGCUGCAUGGCUGUCGUCAGCUCGUGUCGUGAGAUGUUGGGUUAAGUCCCGCAACGAGCGCAACCCUUUUCCUUAGUUACCAGCGGUUUGGCCGGGGACUCUAAGGAUACUGCCAGUGACAAACUGGAGGAAGGCGGGGACGACGUCAAGUCAUCAUGGCCCUUACGACCAGGGCUACACACGUGCUACAAUGGUAGGUACAGAGGGCAGCUACACAGCGAUGUGAUGCGAAUCUCAAAAAGCCUAUCGUAGUCCAGAUUGGAGUCUGCAACUCGACUCCAUGAAGUAGGAAUCGCUAGUAAUCGCGGAUCAGAAUGCCGCGGUGAAUACGUUCCCGGGCCUUGUACACACCGCCCGUCACACCAUGGGAGUUGAUUGCACCAGAAGUGGGUAGCCUAACUUUUAGAGGGCGCUCACCACGGUGUGGUUGAUGACUGGGGUGAAGUCGUAACAAGGUAACCCGGGCGGCCGCUC
rnacentral:rRNA from 1 species